AAUAUUGGACAAUGGUCGAAAGCCUGAUCCAGCCAUGCCGCGUGUGUGAAGAAGGUCUUCGGAAUGUAAAGUACUUGAAGUUGGGAGGAAGGGCAGUAAGUAAAUACAUUACUGAUUUGACGUUACCGACAGAAUAAGCACCGGCUAACUUCGUGCCAGCAGCCGCGGUAAUACGAAGGGUGCAAGCGUUAAUCGGAAUUACUGUGCGGAAAGCGGUCGUAGGUGGUUUGUUAAGUUGGAAGUGAAAGCCCCGGUCUCAACCUGGGAACUGCUUUCAAAACUGGCAAGCUAGAGUAUGGCAGAGGGUGGUGGAAUUUCCUGUGUAGCGGUGAAAUGCGUAGAUAUAGGAAGGAACACCAGUGGCGAAGGCGACCACCUGGGCUAAUACUGACACUGAGGUGCGAAAGCGUGGGGAGCAAAC
rnacentral:rRNA from 1 species